rnacentral:rRNA from 1 species
GACGUAGGGUGCGAGCGUUGUCCGGAGUUAUUGGGCGUAAAGCGCGCGUAGGCGGCGUGGUGCGUCGCACGUAAAAGCCCGCGGCUCAACCGCGGAGGGUCGUGUGAGACGGCCGCGCUGGAGGCAGGGAGAGGCUGGUGGAAUUCCCGGAGUAGUGGUGAAAUGCGUAGAGAUCGGGAGGAACACCGGUGGCGCAGGCGGCCAGCUGGCCCUGACCUGACGCUGAGGCGCGACGGCGUGGGGAGCGAACGGG